rnacentral:rRNA from 1 species
GCUUGCUUUCUUGCUGACGAGUGGCGGACGGGUGAGUAAUGCUUGGGAAUCUGGCUUAUGGAGGGGGAUAACGACGGGAAACUGUCGCUAAUACCGCGUAGAGUCGAGAGACGAAAGUGCGGGACCGCAAGGCCGCACACCAUAGGAUGAGCCCAAGUGGGAUUAGGUAGUUGGUGGGGUAAAGGCCUACCAAGCCGACGAUCUCUAGCUGGUCUGAGAGGAUGACCAGCCACACCGGGACUGAGACACGGCCCGGACUCCUACGGGAGGCAGCAGUGGGGAAUAUUGCGCAAUAGGGGCAACCCUGACGCAGCCAUGCCGCGUGAAUGAAGAAGGCCUUCGGGUUGUAAAGUUCUUUCGGUAUUGAGGAAGGUUGUUGUGUUAAUAGCACGACAAAUUGACGUUAAAUACAGAAGAAGCACCGGCUAACUCCGUGCCAGCAGCCGCGGUAAUACGGAGGGUGCGAGCGUUAAUCGGAAUAACUGGGCGUAAAGGGCACGCAGGCGGACUUUUAAGUGAGGUGUGAAAUCCCCGGGCUUAACCUGGGAAUUGCAUUUCAGACUGGGAGUCUAGAGUACUUUAGGGAGGGGUAGAGUUCCACGUGUAGCGGUGAAAUGCGUAGAGAUGUGGAGGAAUACCGAAGGCGAAGGCAGCCCCUUGGGAAUGUACUGACGCUCAUGUGCGAAAGCGUGGGGAGCAAACAGGAUUAGAUACCCUGGUAGUCCACGCUGUAAACGCUGUCGAUUUGGGGAUUGGGCCUUGAGCUUGGU